UACGGGGGGGGCAAGCGUUGUUCGGAAUUACUGGGCGUAAAGGGCUCGUAGGCGGCCAACUAAGUCAGACGUGAAAUCCCUCGGCUUAACCGGGGAACUGCGUCUGAUACUGGAUGGCUUGAGUUUGGGAGAGGGAUGCGGAAUUCCAGGUGUAGCGGUGAAAUGCGUAGAUAUCGGGAGGAACACCAAUGGCGAAGGCAGCUCGCUGGGACGUUACUGACGCUGAGACGCGAAAGCGUGGGGAGCAAACAGG
rnacentral:rRNA from 1 species